rnacentral:lncRNA from 1 species
GAGAAAGAAAAUAUGGCAAUCGAUGUGUACAGUUAAUUUUUAAAAAACUUUAGCAUUAUAAAAAAUAUGUUUUUAAUGCAUUAUAAUUCAUAUUUAGCUCUUAUUAAAACAUCUGAGCAAUAAUUAAACCAAUAGGAUCUAAGACAUGGACUCCAAAGGAAAAUUUUAUGGAAGAUUUUCAGUGACAUUUGUGAAAAUGGGCAUUGGAAGAUCAGAA